rnacentral:rRNA from 1 species
UACGUAGGGUGCGAGCGUUAAUCGGAAUUACUGGGCGUAAAGCGUGCGCAGGCGGUUCGUUAAGUUCGUUGUGAAAGCCCCGGGCUCAACCUGGGAACUGCAAUGGAAACUGGCGGGCUUGAGUGUGGCAGAGGGGGGUGGAAUUCCGCGUGUAGCAGUGAAAUGCGUAGAGAUGCGGAGGAACGCCGAUGGCGAAGGCAGCCCCCUGGGCCAACACUGACGCUCAGGCACGAAAGCGUGGGGAGCAAACAGG